UCCGUUAUGGUGUAAUGGUUAACAUUAUCGCCUCUCAUUCUAAACGACAAAGGUCAGCGAGUGCGCGAUAGCUCAGGGUUCGAUUCCCUGUAACGGAA